rfam:Hordeum vulgare subsp. vulgare, WGS project CAJW01000000 data, contig: morex_contig_42099
CGUAUACUCCCUCUGUCCGGAAAUACUUGUCACAAGAGUGGAUGUAUCUAGAUGUAUUUUAGUUUUAGAUACUUCUAUUUUUAUUCAUUUGUGGACAAGUAAUUUCGGACGGAGUGAGUAUAUC